rnacentral:rRNA from 1 species
GGGUUGUGAGGUUAAGCGACUAAGCGUACACGGUGGAUGCCCUGGCAGUCAGAGGCGAUGAAGGACGUGCUAAUCUGCGAAAAGCGUCGGUAAGGUGAUAUGAACCGUUAUAACCGGCGAUGUCCGAAUGGGGAAACCCAGUGCAAUUCGUUGCACUAUCGUUAACUGAAUACAUAGGUUAACGAGGCGAACCGGGGGAACUGAAACAUCUAAGUACCCCGAGGAAAAGAAAUCAACCGAGAUUCCCCCAGUAGCGGCGAGCGAACGGGGAGCAGCCCAGAGUCUGAAUCAGCUUGUGUGUUAGUGGAACGGUCUGGAAAGUCCGACGGUACAGGGUGAUAGUCCCGUACACCAAAAUGCACAGGUUGUGAACUCGAAGAGUAGGGCGGGACACGUGGUAUCCUGUCUGAAUAUGGGGGGACCAUCCUCCAAGGCUAAAUACUCCUGACUGACCGAUAGUGAACCAGUACCGUGAGGGAAAGGCGAAAAGAACCCCGGCGAGGGGAGUGAAAAAGAACCUGAAACCGUGUACGUACAAGCAGUGGGAGCACCUUCGGGUGUGACUGCGUACCUUUUGUAUAAUGGGUCAGCGACUUAUAUUCUGUAGCAAGGUUAACCGUAUAGGGGAGCCGCAGGGAAACCGAGUCUUAACUGGGCGUUAAGUUGCAGGGUAUAGACCCGAAACCCGGUGAUCUAGCCAUGGGCAGGUUGAAGGUUGGGUAACACUAACUGGAGGACCGAACCGACUAAUGUUGAAAAAUUAGCGGAUGACUUGUGGCUGGGGGUGAAAGGCCAAUCAAACCGGGAGAUAGCUGGUUCUCCCCGAAAGCUAUUUAGGUAGCGCCUCGUGAAUUCAUCUUCGGGGGUAGAGCACUGUUUCGGCUAGGGGGUCAUCCCGACUUACCAACCCGAUGCAAACUACGAAUACCGAAGAAUGUUAUCACGGGAGACACACGGCGGGUGCUAACGUCCGUCGUGAAGAGGGAAACAACCCAGACCGCCAGCUAAGGUCCCAAAGUCAUGGUUAAGUGGGAAACGAUGUGGGAAGGCACAGACAGCCAGGAUGUUGGCUUAGAAGCAGCCAUCAUUUAAAGAAAGCGUAAUAGCUCACUGGUCGAGUCGGCCUGCGCGGAAGAUGUAACGGGGCUAAACCAUGCACCGAAGCUGCGGCAGCGACACGAUGUGUUGUUGGGUAGGGGAGCGUUCUGUAAGCCUGCGAAGGUGACCUGUGAGGGUUGCUGGAGGUAUCAGAAGUGCGAAUGCUGACAUAAGUAACGAUAAAGCGGGUGAAAAGCCCGCUCGCCGGAAGACCAAGGGUUCCUGUCCAACGUUAAUCGGGGCAGGGUGAGUCGACCCCUAAGGCGAGGCCGAAAGGCGUAGUCGAUGGGAAACAGGUUAAUAUUCCUGUACUUGGUGUUACUGCGAAGGGGGGACGGAGAAGGCUAUGUUAGCCGGGCGACGGUUGUCCCGGUUUAAGCAUGUAGGCUGGUUAUCCAGGCAAAUCCGGAUAAUCAAGGCUGAGGUGUGAUGACGAGGCACUACGGUGCUGAAGUAACAAAUGCCCUGCUUCCAGGAAAAGCCUCUAAGCAUCAGGUAACAUCAAAUCGUACCCCAAACCGACACAGGUGGUCAGGUAGAGAAUACCAAGGCGCUUGAGAGAACUCGGGUGAAGGAACUAGGCAAAAUGGUGCCGUAACUUCGGGAGAAGGCACGCUGGUGUGUAGGUGAAGUCCCUGCGGAUGGAGCUGAGACCAGUCGAAGAUACCAGCUGGCUGCAACUGUUUAUUAAAAACACAGCACUGUGCAAACACGAAAGUGGACGUAUACGGUGUGACGCCUGCCCGGUGCCGGAAGGUUAAUUGAUGGGGUUAUCCGUAAGGAGAAGCUCUUGAUCGAAGCCCCGGUAAACGGCGGCCGUAACUAUAACGGUCCUAAGGUAGCGAAAUUCCUUGUCGGGUAAGUUCCGACCUGCACGAAUGGCGUAAUGAUGGCCAGGCUGUCUCCACCCGAGACUCAGUGAAAUUGAACUCGCUGUGAAGAUGCAGUGUACCCGCGGCAAGACGGAAAGACCCCGUGAACCUUUACUAUAGCUUGACACUGAACAUUGAGCCUUGAUGUGUAGGAUAGGUGGGAGGCUUUGAAGCGUGGACGCCAGUCUGCGUGGAGCCAACCUUGAAAUACCACCCUUUAAUGUUUGAUGUUCUAACGUGGGCCCCUGACCGGGGUUGCGGACAGUGUCUGGUGGGUAGUUUGACUGGGGCGGUCUCCUCCCAAAGCGUAACGGAGGAGCACGAAGGUUAGCUAAUCCUGGUCGGACAUCAGGAGGUUAGUGCAAUGGCAUAAGCUAGCUUGACUGCGAGCGUGACGGCGCGAGCAGGUGCGAAAGCAGGUCAUAGUGAUCCGGUGGUUCUGAAUGGAAGGGCCAUCGCUCAACGGAUAAAAGGUACUCCGGGGAUAACAGGCUGAUACCGCCCAAGAGUUCAUAUCGACGGCGGUGUUUGGCACCUCGAUGUCGGCUCAUCACAUCCUGGGGCUGAAGUAGGUCCCAAGGGUAUGGCUGUUCGCCAUUUAAAGUGGUACGCGAGCUGGGUUUAGAACGUCGUGAGACAGUUCGGUCCCUAUCUGCCGUGGGCGCUGGAGAAUUGAGGGGGGCUGCUCCUAGUACGAGAGGACCGGAGUGGACGCAUCACUGGUGUUCGGGUUGUCAUGCCAAUGGCACUGCCCGGUAGCUAAAUGCGGAAGAGAUAAGUGCUGAAAGCAUCUAAGCACGAAACUUGCCCCGAGAUGAGUUCUCCCUGAGACUUUAAGUCUCCUGAAGGAACGUUGAAGACGACGACGUUGAUAGGCCGGGUGUGUAAGCGCAGCGAUGCGUUGAGCUAACCGGUACUAAUGAACCGUGAGGCUUAACCUUACAACGCCGAAG